CAGAAUAAUAUUUGUAGUGAUAAGACAAUAAACGCAAUCAUCCGAAGGCUUGGGUGAUCAUGGAGAAUAUAUUUUGCCUGAGUCCUGUCAGUUACUAAGAAGUGCGUUGAAGAACUUACCAAAGUUUUGAUCUUUCUUCAAUGCCGUUUUCUCAGAAAUAGAAGAACUCGGAAUCAAUAACUCGUGAAGGCGUUAAGAGUUAAAAAGUGCAUCUGGCUAUUUGGGGCGAGGGGAAAGUGGUACAGGACCCAGAAAAGUCACUGUACAAAUACACGUAAAGUCAAAGUCAUUGCUUGAAAAUCAUCAGACUUACACGAAAUCAUUGCACUGCGUUUUUCGAAGUAGUUUCCCCCUCGGAUUGGCCCAGUCUGAGCCUGGUUUAACAGGGCAAAAAGGCAACUUUGUUCCACGUCAUAACAAAUCAAG